rnacentral:snRNA from 1 species
AUACUUACCUGGCAGGGGAGAUACCAUGAUCACGAAGGUGGUUCUCCCAGGGCGAGGCUCAUCCAUUGCACUCCGGCCGUGCUGACCCCUGCGAUUUCCCCAAAUGCGGGAAAGUCGACUGCAUAAUUUCUGGUAGUGGGGGACUGCGUUUGCGCUUUCCCCUG